GUCUACGGCCAUACCACCCUGAACGCACCCAAUCUCGUCUGAUCUCAGAAGCUAAGCAAGGUUGGGCCUGGUUAGUACUUGGAUGGGAGAAAUAUUUGUUAGAUUGGAUGUAGGCG
ensembl:rRNA 5S_rRNA 5S ribosomal RNA